CCUACGUGAGGCAGCAGUGAGGAAUAUUGGUCAAUGGGCGCGAGCCUGAACCAGCCAAGUAGCGUGAAGGAUGACUGCCCUACGGGUUGUAAACUUCUUUUAUAAAGGAAUAAAGUGAGGCACGUGUGCCUUUUUGUAUGUACUUUAUGAAUAAGGAUCGGCUAACUCCGUGCCAGCAGCCGCAGUAAUACGGAGGAUCCGAGCGUUAUCCGGAUUUAUUGGGUUUAAAGGGAGCGUAGAUGGGUUGUUAAGUCAGUUGUGAAAGUUUGCGGCUCAACCGUAAAAUUGCAAUUGAUACUGGCAGUCUUGAGUACAGUUGAGGUAGGCGGAAUUCGUGGUGUAGCGGUGAAAUGCUUAGAUAUCACGAAGAACUCCGAUUGCGAAGGCAGCUUACUAAACUGCCACUGACAUUGAUGCUCGAAAGUGUGGGUAUCAAACAGGAUUAGAUACCCUUGUAGUC
rnacentral:rRNA from 1 species